GUAGUAUUAUUAUGAAGUAUUAUUGUUGUUAUUAUUAUAAAUACAGAAGUGUGUGUCCCAUGGCUGCAUGUGUGUUACUGGGGUAUUAUUUGUUAAAGAACAGGUAGGGGGUACUGUCCGGUCAGGGCCAGUGGAGACGGGUCCUGGGCUGUUCCAGAAGGUUGGCCCCCUGGUGGCCGACUGGGAGAACUGCCUCAGGGGCAUUGCUGAGGAGCUGGACACGCAGACACAUGGACAGACAGAGGGACAGACAGAUGGACAGACACACGACUCCAAACCACUGAGCCAAGAAGGGAGACUUUUCCUCCAGGCAGAGGACCGCUCUCUCUGUCAUUUGGAGGGGAAGUACCAGACCAUGAUCUGGGCCUUACGCUCCAAACUGGGCUCCAGACUCAUUCCUCCAGUCCUGCACCUGGAUACAGCCCCCUUACAGCAAGACUCCCCCCACAUUCCUGCUUUUCCCACCAGAGAGUCACCCACCUCAUUCCCCCCUCCGGAAUCUCCAGAAUCUCUCUUCACAGCCCUCAUCAGUGAAAUCCGUAAAUUCGGGACACAGAAUGAAAUGACGACAGAAGAUGUAGAAAUGAAUGUGACGUCUUUUGAAGAGGAGACAUUUUCUGAUCCAGCAUCAGUCAGCUCAGUAGACCCUUCUGAUUGGCUGGACAAAGCUGUGACAGAACACACAACGUUACAGCGUCAAUUCCCGUCUCUGUCCACUGUCAGCAGCACAAAGUCUCCCAUAGCAACAACCUCUGACUCCAGACAAACUCUACUUCCUGGUUCUCCCUCCCUCCGGGUUUCCCUCAACCACAAGAGACUCAGGAGUCUCCACAAGAGGCAGAUACCUAGGGUUAACGCUUGUCCAGGAGUAGCAGAGCCUACCCAGCAUGUGAGUGGAAUCAGAGACACAUACAAGUGGGUCCUGGGCAUCCCCACCAAGAACCUCCACAUAAACUUCCAGGAAGUGCUAGUAGACCUGAGCUCUAUGAACGUUCCUGGUCUGUACGAGGCACGGGUCAAGGCGGUGGUGGUGGGGGGGUCGACCUCUGACCUUUUACAGCCUGGUGGGUUUGGAGAACGGGUCCUUCUACCGUAG
rnacentral:lncRNA from 1 species